AUAGAUCCCGCCUUCUGUCGUCUCUCCACCUAUCACCGGAGGCCGCUGUGGGGAGCGCGUGGUGUUUGCUUUCCUCGACCAAUAGAAGUGGUUAAAAGAUUGACAAGGAAGCUCCGCCCCCUUACUGCCCUCCAGAGUGAAGUGUUCCCCGGCGUGCGGUUCAAGCCACCGAGCUGUGCUGUCACCACUGCCAUGGCUUCGCGACCUGUCACUCUCGGUAUCGACUUGGGCACCACGUCCGUGAAGGCCGCCCUAUUGGAGGCUGCACCCAGCCUCCCAUCCGGGUUCGUGGUGCUGGCGAGCUGCGCCCGGGCUGCGAGGGCAGAGACUGAGAGCGCGGUGGCCGGGCCCCAGGGGCGGGAGCAGGAUGUGACUAGAAUCAUCCAAGCCCUAAAUGAAUGCCUUGAUGCCCUUCCCCGGCAGCAGCUCCAGAGAGUCCGGGGCAUCGGAGUGUCGGGACAGAUGCAUGGCAUCCUAUUUUGGAAAGCAGGCCAAGGCUGUGAAUGGAUGGAGGGAGGGCCUGCCUUUGUAUUUGAGCCCAGAGCUGUGAGCCACUUGGUCACAUGGCAGGAUGGCCGUUGUAACAGUAGUUUCCUGGCUUCUCUGCCCAAGCCAGAUUCCCAUCUCAGUGUGGCCACAGGAUUCGGCUGUGCAACCAUCUUCUGGCUUUUGAAAAACAGCCCGGAGUUUCUGAAGUCCUAUGAUGCAGCUGGCACCAUUCAAGAUUAUGUGGUUGCCAUGCUGUGUGGCUUGCCAAGACCCCUGAUGUCUGACCAGAAUGCCGCUAGCUGGGGCUAUUUUAACACCCAGAGCCAGAGCUGGAACUUGGACACGAGCAGAACUCCAGGGCCCUGUGAGCUCACUUCCUUCAGGGUCUCAAUUUUGAGCCCUGAGGUACAGUUAAAAGCAGGUGGUAGUUCAGACUGGAAAAGGCAGGCUUUCCUAUCCACCUUCUCCCCGACAUUGCAGAGCCAGGCAGCAUGGCAGGCAGAACUUCUCACACAUGGUUUGAAAUCCCAAAGGGGACACAGGUGGGCAUAGCCCUGGGUGACUUACAAGCCUCUGUCUAUUCCUGCAUGGGCCAAAGGACUGAUGCAGUUCUCAACAUCAGCACCUCGGUCCAGCUGGCAGCCUCCAUGCCUGUGGGAUUCCAGCCACUGCAGACUCCGGAUCCUGCAGCCCCAGUUGCCUUCUUCCCUUACUUCGACAGGACCUACCUAGGGGUGGCAGCGUCACUCAAUGGAGGCAAUGUGCUGGCCACGUUUGUCCACAUGCUUGUUCAGUGGAUGGCAGAUCUUGGUCUGGAGGUUGAAGAAUCCACUGUGUAUUCACGCAUGAUCCAGGCGGCUGCACAGCAGAAAGACACCCAUCUCACCAUCACCCCAACAGUGCUGGGGGAGAGGCACCUGCCAGACCAGCUGGCCUCUGUGACUAGAAUCUCCUCCUCUGACCUCUCCCUGGGCCAUGUGACCCGGGCCCUCUGCAGAGGCAUCGUUCAGAACCUGCACUCCAUGCUUCCUUUCCAACAGCUCAAAGAGUGGGGUGUGGCCCGGGUGGUGGGGAGUGGGAGUGCACUGUCCAGGAACGAGGUGCUGAAGCAGGAGGUCCAGAGGGCGUUUCCUUUCCCAGUGUGCUUUGGGCAGGAUGUAGAUGCAGCCUUUGGGGCAGCUCUGGUCAUGCUCCAGAGAGACCUUAGCCAGAAGGAGCCUUAGUUCAUCAAGCUCCUUGGCUAAAGGAAUGCUGGGAAUCUUACCUAAUUGACAAUGUCAGCAUGAUCUCUGGGUUGUCCUUUUCUGGGACGGCUCUGUGGGUGGACUGUAAUUUAUACUUGAUCUUGAGGUAUGAUCUAGACUGAUGAAGAUCUUACCUUCAGGGCAUAUGAUAAUCAUACAGCCAGGAAUCUCUAACCAGACCCCAAACUAGUGCCUUCCAAGAAUAGGAUCUUCUGAGAGCUGACUGAAAAUGCAGAUGUGGGAGAUGGAGAGAAUGGGAGGGAGGAAAAUGGGAAGAGGGAGAGGAAGGGAGAAACAAACAGUUUCCCGGUCACUGGGCUCGGCUGUGAUUCAUUCGUAGACAGGGAAAAAAGAAAGAUGACUUAUGUAGCCAUGGCUCCAGCAAAGCAGAGAAGACCUGCUUAUGCCCAGCACUUGGAUUGGUUCAGCUUUAAGUUAAGUGCAUUGCUGGAAAAAUCCUCCCCACCAGGUUGUAGCAGGUGGAGGGAGGCCCCUCUCCCAGUCUCGGGGAAGAGAAGGAGCCUUCCUUAGUUCAUCAAGCUCUUUGCGAUUCUGGGAAUCUUAUCUCACCUGUCAGCUUGAUAGCCCUGUCAGUUGAAGAGAACAGCUAUAGCAUGGUCUCCAGCCAGAGAGAGACCAAAGGAUAUGAAGCACCACACCUUGGAGGAGAAAGCUGAGGUCUCUGGGCUUGCCUUGCCAUGUGCUUCUGGGACAGUGCUGCACCGUGGCUACCCCGAGUCUUCUCAGCACAGCUGGCUUAAAGGCACAUCCAGGAGAAGAAAAGUCACCUGGUAAGAACAGCUAAAGGGACCACAGAGCACUGUGAGGAACACUGACUGACAGACUGUUUUCAAGAUGGCAGCAAGGCACCAGCCCUUUUCUAUGACUGCGUAUGGCCACAUGUCUCUCUAACCCCUGCCACAAGGGGUGGCCAGUUUCAUGAGAGAACCUUUAUCCCACAGGCCCCACCCCUUUCUCCAGGGUGAAGAUCUUGCUGCCCUCUGGUGGUUCUGGCCCAGUAGGAAUGUCCUGUUCAGAUAGGCAUGCAUGGAGGGUCAGAGAAUCACCAGUCUUCCCAUGUUACAGUGCCUUCAAGAAGAGGGUCACCAUCACUGUCUACUCAUAGGCUCCCAAAGGACCCCACGGCUCAGGGGCACCUGUGACUUUGGGGAGAAACCAUGUCAUCUCUUUGUAAGAGUUAUUUCAUAAGGUAUACUAUUGUGGUAACCCCUUUGAUGGAUUUACCUCCCACUGCUGGCUCAGCUAACUGAAUAAAUUUCAUUUUUCCAGAAUUUUA